GGCACAUCUCGCCCACCCCUAACGCUUGCAGGAGCUGCCAUGGGGCUUCCCCUGUGGCAGUGGGUAUGAUCUGUGGGAGCCUGGCCUUUGGCUGGGAUGCAUUGCAGCUGGGGUGGUUUUCUCAGGAUCUCAAUUUCCAGUGGAGCAUCAUCUGCCAAAGAUAAUGUAAAAAUCAGCUUCUUUGGCAGUUUGGUCUCGCAGAAAGGAACAAAAGGAACCCUCCACCCAGAUGUGCUUCCUCACACACAGACUUGCAGUAACCGUUCUUCUGAGAAACUGUGAAACAUGAGGCUUUUUGCAAAGUAAUCAUGGUGCUGACAACACACGACCUGAGCCUUUCCUGUUUGUGCAAGAAUUCACAGUAAUGGCACACAUUUGACUUUUGUGCUUUGAAACCAGAACAAGAAGAAAAAUAAAGCCAAGCUCCAAAUCCAAUUGUACGUUGAUUUAACUGGCUUGGAACCCUUCUUCAAGUGAAAUCCUGCAAAAGCAGAGUGCUGGACUUGAUCUGAAGAUUUCAUUCAUGUUCGAAAUUGAGAUCUAGCUCUUCUACCCACAAAUCUACUUUGUAGGUAGGAAAUGGGAAGUUUCUCACAGGGUUUUCAGCCCAAGAAAGUAGAAUGAGGGACAAAAAUUUGUCAUUUUGCAGAUACCUUAUUUUGGUGCUAUCAGAAAUGUGUACCACUGAAAUUCUUACUGCAUAAAAAGUCAUUAAAGUAUCAUAUUGACGCAUGGCAAGAUUCAAGCUUGUUGAGCAGUUUUUGUUUCUACUAUGGAAAGCCCAUAUGGAGAAUGGGGUUGUUACAGAAGUCUUUCCUUUAGGCAGAGCAUGUGAGCUCUUGGUUGCUUUUGUAUUACAUUUUAAAUUGACUAUCACUGUUCUAGGCAAAUAAGCUAUUCCAGAGCAGCACUCUGUGCCAUCACUGUAUUCCCAGAUGAAAAUCACCUUGCCUGUAUGAGCCAGUACAGGGAAGUUCAACUGCCUUUUUAUUCACUGUGCACCUGCACAGCAAUUCUUCUGCAUGUGUGAAUUUGCUCCAGAGUCCCAUAUCACUGUGGGGACAUCCACCUCAGUUCCUGGGCCAUUUACUUGUCAUCUUGUUGUGAGAGAGAGCCUGGUUAAAUUAAAAAGGGAGCAAGAGCAUCAGCACAACCGCACUUCAGCACUCCUGCAAGAAAAUGCCAUCAGGCUUGGGCAGAGGCGGGGGGUGUGUGUGUCUGUGGUUCAGAUGAGCUGCUGCAGAACACAGUGCAGAUUUUGAGGUUGUAAAUGAGUUUUAAUCUACGCUGACAAUUGUGCAUCCCUGGCUUUCCUCUAAGCUGCAGAAGCAAGAGCAAUUAGUCUGGUUAAGAACAUGACUAUAAAGCAGACAAUAUGGGCUCUAAUAAAGCAAGCAUGCUUUUCCAUUAAAAUAAUUUGCAUAAUGUAAUUCUUUGAAGCGUUUUCCUCAUUUUUCAAUGUUGUUUUCAUUCACUGAGCUCUGUAUUAAUUGCUAAUAAAAAACAGAGCAAGAAUUUUCAUUUUAAGGGCUUCCUCUGUCUUUUUGAAGUAAGAAGCUCAAAGCAAAGCACAGUUUGGCAGCUUACAUUCAGGUACACCUCAGUGCAGGCCUACUUCCUAUCAAAGAUGUUUGAUAGCUCAGAAGACACUGUCAUUGCAGAGUGGACACAGGGGAUAUGCAGCCUGUGAGAGUCCUCUGGUUACCAUGUUAUUAGGCGCCUAUCUAAAGCUUAAUGGCCAGGCUAUCCAUUCCCUCGCCCUGAGCUGGCUCUGUUUUGUUCUAGGGCCAAAGUAGCUUCCAGCCAGGGGUCAAAACUGAUGGGACAGAAGUAGUAUAGAUAAUGUUUAAUUUUUUUGGUCCCACACACAUUCUGCUCUGAAGGGCCAAUGCCUUACCUAAGGCCUGGACAUGUGCUUGUUCUGUGUGUUUGACUUCAUGCAUUCAAAACACCACCAAACAGAAGCAGAAUGAAUGAAUCCUUAGUGUGCUGGGGGCUGAGCAGUGAUAUCAAGAUGCAGAAGUUUUUGUUUUGGCCAUGGCAGCUGCCUUUGCUUUUGGGGAACAAGGGAAGAUUGAAUGCCCCCCUUGUUUAGGCAUAGUGAAAAACUGUAUGUGGGUAAGAUGAUGAGGGUGGGACACUGGAACAGGUUGCUGAGAGAAGUUGUGGAUGCUCCAUCACUGGAAGUGUUCAAAGUAAGUUUGGACAAGGCUUUGAGCAACUUGAUGUAGAGAAAGAUGUCCCUGUCCAUGAUUUGGGUCUUCGACUAGGUCUUUGAAGGUCCCUUCCAACUCAAACCAUUCUAUGAUUCUAUGAUAAAGUCAUGAGUUUGCAUCCUGGGGUGUGAGAUGUUUCCUAAUGUUCUGAUGGAAAAUCCCCAGUAGGAAGGAAAGGUGUGGUAGCUGCUGUGUGUUUGUGAUAAAAAGAGGAAAACCACCAAGGUUCAGCUCUGUAGACAACCAGAGAGGUGUUUUCUGUGAAACCAUGAGAAAAAACCCAAACCCCAAGGCAUGAAACUUUGGGUAGAAGGAAUCAUGGCCAAAGGCAAUGUGUGUUGCUGGUGGUCUCUUACAAUGCUUAGUGGGGAAAAAAAUGCUUUACAUACUUGGAAAAUAAUAUACCCCUUAAUUUUUCUCCCUUCUAGAAACAGUUUGCAAUUUUCUUCUGUUUCUUGAGUUAAAAGAAGCAACUAUCUAGCCAAUUUAGACCAGGCUAUAGUCCACAGCCCUGGUUUCCUUGUGCAUCACUGUGGCAGGAUGGUGAGUGCGCUGGUGCUGGGGUGGGAUGAAGCAGGUUGUCCUGAAGGUGAGGGCUGGGUAAAUGGAGCAAAACAAAAACAACAUGGAGAAUAUUAUUAUCAGUACGUGUCAAGUGAGUUACAAUUUCUCAGGUGAUUGAAUGCAGAAGUUUUCUCUGCUGGUGAAUUUGAAUGAAGUAUAUUAUAUUUGAUUGUAUCAGUGGAAAUAUUUUUUUCUGUCAGUAGCAUUGUUAGUUUUCUUGUCUUUCCACAUGCAUUUAUUUGCAUUACAUGCAAAUAAAACCUAUACGUUUAGCUAUCUCUUUUUAUAUUGUUGUGCAUAGGUGUAAGUUCUUUAAGGUAGGGAUAUUAUUGUUAUUUAACUGCUUAGUGCUUUCUGGUGGUGUUCUGCUCUUCAGACACUACCAUUGUAGUAAUAAAAAUAUAAUGAUGAUAAUAAUGCCUUUGGGAGGACACUUGCUGAAAUUGCUUUUUGGGUGUUGUGAAGAACUUCUAUUUACCAAUUGUUAAAUGACUAUAAAUUAGCAGUAGUCAUUAAAAAGCUGAACUUACCUGCAUGUACUUCUCAAGGAGAUAAAGGGACUCCUGUUCAUAAAAUCUACAGUGCUCAGCCAGGAG